rnacentral:rRNA from 1 species
UAGGGAAUCUUCCACAAUGGACGCAAGUCUGAUGGAGCAACGCCGCGUGAGUGAAGAAGGUUUUCGGACCGUAAAGCUCUGUUGUUGGUGAAGAAGGAUAGAGGUAGUAACUGGCCUUUAUUUGACGGUAAUCAACCAGAAAGUCACGGCUAACUACGUGCCAGCAGCCGCGGUAAUCGUAGGUGGCAAGCGUUGUCCGGAUUUAUUGGGCGUAAAGCGAGCGCAGGCGGAAGAAUAAGUCUGAUGUGAAAGCCCUCGGCUUAACCGAGGAAUUGCAUCGGAAACUGUUUUCUUGGGUGCAGAAGAGGAGAGUAGAACUCCAUGUGUAGCGGUGGAAUGCGUAGAUAUAUGGAAGAAUACCAGUGGCGAAGGCGGCUCUCUGGUCUGCAACUGACGCUGAGGCUCGAAAGCAUGGGUAGCGAACAGGAUUAGAUACCCUGGUAGUCCAUGCCGUAAACGAUGAGUGCUAAGUGUUGGGAGGCUUCCGCCUCUCAGUGCUGCAGCUAACGCAUUAAGCACUCCGCCUGGGGGAGUACGACCGCAAGGUUGAAAC